rnacentral:rRNA from 1 species
UUAUCCGGAUUUAUUGGGCGUAAAGCGUACGUAGGCUGUUUAAUAAGUCGGUGGUAAAAUCCCAGGGCUCAACCCUGGACCUGCCACCGAAACUGCUAAACUAGAGGGUGGAAGAGGCAAGUGGAAUUGCCGGUGUAGGGGUAAAAUCCGUUAAUAUCGGCAGGAACACCAAAUGCGAAGGCAACUUGCUAGGACACUCCUGACGCUAAGGUACGAAAGCGUGGGUAGCGAAUGGGAUUAGAUACCCCAGUAGUCCACGCCGUAAACGAUGGAUACUAGGCAUUGGAAGUAUCGACCCUUCCAGUGUCGUUGAAACAAGCUAACGCAUUAAGUAUCCCGCCUGGGGAGUACGGCCGCAAGGCUAAAACUCAAAGGAAUUGACGGGGGCCCGCACAAGCGGUGGAGCACGUGGUUUAAUUCGACGAUAAGCGUGGAACCUUACCAAGGCUUGACAUAUAGCUACAAGCCCCUAGAGAUAGGGGCCUUCUUCGAGAGUGCUAUACAGGUGUUGCAUGGUUGCCGUCAGCUCGUGCCGUGAGGUGUACGGUUAAGUCCGGAAACGAGCGCAACCCCUGCCCUUAUUUGCAUCUUUAUAAGGGAACUGCCGUGAACAACACGGAGGAAGGUGGGGACGACGUCAAAUCAGCAUGACUCUUACGCCUUGGGCUACACACAUGCUACAAUGGCUAGGACAAAGGGUUGCCAAACCGUAAGGUGGAGCUAAUCCCAUAAACCUAGUCUCAGUUNGGAUUGAGGGCUGCAACUCGCCCUCAUGAAGUUGGAAUCGGUAGAAACCGUAAAUCAGCCACGUUACGGUGAAUACGU